rnacentral:rRNA from 1 species
AACGAACGCUGGCGGCAUGCCUAACACAUGCAAGUCGAACGAGACCUUCGGGUCUAGUGGCGCACGGGUGCGUAACGCGUGGGAACCUGCCCUUAGGUUCGGAAUAACUCCCCGAAAGGGGUGCUAAUACCGGAUAAUGUCUUCGGACCGAAGAUUUAUCGCCUUUGGAUCGGCCCGCGUUGGAUUAGCUAGUUGGUAGGGUAAAAGCCUACCAAGGCGACGCUCCAUAGCUGGUCUGAGAGGAUGGUCCGCCACACUGGGACUGGGACACGGCCCAGACACCGGCGGGAGGCAGCAGUGGGGAUUAUGGGACAAUGGGCGAAAGCCUGAGCCAGCAAGGCCGCGUGGGUGAUGAAUGCCUAAGGGUAGGAAAGCUCUUUUACCCGGGAUGAUAAGGACAUUACCGGGAGAAUAAGCUCCGGCUAACUCCGU